UACAGAGGGUGCAAGCGUUAAUCGGAAUUACUGGGCGUAAAGCGCGCGUAGGUGGUUUGUUAAGUUGAAUGUGAAAUCCCCGGGCUCAACCUGGGAACUGCAUCCAAAACUGGCAAGCUAGAGUAGGGCAGAGGGUGGUGGAAUUUCCUGUGUAGCGGUGAAAUGCGUAGAUAUAGGAAGGAACACCAGUGGCGAAGGCGACCACCUGGGCUCAUACUGACACUGAGGUGCGAAAAGCGUGGGGAGCAAACAGG
rnacentral:rRNA from 1 species